UAAUGGUUUGGUGAAACACUAUACAAUCUACCCUAUAAGAAGAUUUAAGUAUCUGGAAAAGACCUUGGUACUCUUGCUUCUUCCAAAACCAUCCACGUCUCCAUUUUGUAAACCCUACCAAUUGCCUCUACAACAUCACACAACUUUUGUUUCAAAAUUUCAGAUUGCCUUUUUUCCUUCUUUCUCUCUCAAACGUCUUCUCAUCAUCUUUUCUUCUCUCUCUCUCUCUCUCUCUCUCUCUCUCUCUCUCUCUCUCUCUCUCUCUCUCUCUCUCUCUCUCUCUCUCUCUCUCUCAUUUAUCUCUUCCUCACCUACCUUCACCCUCGUCCUUCUUUUCUCUUCCCUCUCUUCCUUCUUCUCUACAACGUUUGAUGCAAACUAUGUUAUUUGCAAAAGCAUACAGAACAUAUGCGAAGACGAAGAUGGAGACGCCGACUUUUCUCAGAUUUUUGAGAUAUUCUAACCGUUCAUUCAUAGCGAUCCGUUUCGAUUCAUUGUACCGAACCUUUUCAGAUCGUCACUACUAUCCCUACCAUUGUACCAUAUAUCGACAGAGACGUCGCAAUAUCGACAAACUCCAACGUGAAGUUAUAAUGAUACACCAUUGGAGACGUCGCAAUAUCGACAAACUCCAACGUGGAGUUAUAAUGAUACACCAUUGGUAGAUCUGAAAUUAAUGUGAUUGCAGCUUCUAAUGAUUGUUAGCUGGUGUUGGCUCGUGCGAAAUGGGGGAAGAUUCGCCGGCGGUGCGGUUUCUAAAGGGUUUGUGAUAUUGAACUGGAUGUGCAGGUUCAUUUGGUGCUCGAAUGCCUCAAGUAUUUUGGUGGGAGCAUAUUCAGUGUCGGCUUUGCUUCGUCAAGUGCAGGUUGGGAAUUUUGGGAUUUUCAUGAGUAUUGUGAUCUUGCCCUAUUCGAACAGUUUGAGAGUGCAUAUGGCUGCAAUUUGCAUUUAUAUAACGUUGAAUUUGCACUUGAUUUUGGGACCGAAUCCACUGAUGAAUUGUUGACUGAUGCCUUGAAUGUAUCCUGUACAGGUUCCAAGAUGAGGUUUCCCGGAGUCGGAAGCGAAGCUGUCUCAAACAUGGAAACCCAUAUUGAAGCUUGAAGUAUAAGUUUGUGUGUAUUCAGGAUAUUGGUUUAGCCUUGAAUUGAAUUGAGUUUCUUCCUUUUUUCUGAUGAUACAGUAUUUCUAUAACAGGUUGUCCAUGAAUGGAUAUGUUCCUUUGAAACUCUGAAAUGAAUUUUAAAUCGAGAGCUAUGAAUUGCAUUCAAAUUUUCUGUAGGUAGGUGAAAUCCAUGGUUUGUUAACAUAUGAUUUGGGUUCUUCAAGGGAUUGCAGAUUCAGGGCAUUAUCUGAGGCAAGCAACUCUAAACCAAUGAGAAGUGAGAUUUAUAUGUCACUGGAACAAUAUUCAUACUUUUUACUUUAUCCCCUCAACUGGCUCCAAUUUUGGGCUUUCCUACUAAUCGUUAUGAGGAUACUCCCCUGAGGAUACUCCUAAAAAGUCUUUUGCAUCUAUUAUAAUUCUGCACCUUUCCAUUUGAGGGCUUCCCUUGCAAAACCCGCGGUGCAACCACCUCGUGUUCACAGCAGUGUGCCUGCUCCCGAAGUACAAGUCCCCCUAACGCCGACAUUCCAUUGGAAAAGAAUAAUGAGAAUUUAGGUAAUUUUAAUUUACUCAUUCCACUGGAUCUGGUUUUCAAGAAAUUCGGGUACAUUAAACGCGGUGAUAUUCAAGUUAGAAGUAACAAGGUACGUUUAUUUUGAACAUUUCCAACACCUGCUUUACUGAAUGCACAUUGACUACAAUUAGUGAUACAAUUUCUAUUUUUUUACAUGGAUUCCACAUGUAAAAAAGAGAAUUUGGCUUUGGCGGCUUAUAUGUGAUCACUUCAAAGACUCCCGAGUAUUGUUGGUUUCGGCAACGCCGUGGACUUGACUUUGAUGAUGAGAAGGUUCUCCGGUUUGGAAGAAAUUCAGUAACUUACUUUUGGAAUUGUUAAUAAAAAGAUUCCAUUAUUACAGGGAGAGGACAUUCAUGGGAUACCUGGACUUAUUAAUCUUUUUGGAAUUGAGUCACCUGGUUUAACAUCAAGCUUGGCAAUUGCAGAUUUCAUUGCUACUAAAUUUUUGUGAAGAUACAGAGGCGUUCAGCAUGGAACAUUUAGUUACUUGACAUUACCAAAAGAUACAUGGUUGUUGUGCAUGAGAAAGUAUUGCAAUUAAAUGCUCAAAAUGUCUAAUGAGAUGAUUGAAACCAUGGCAACAAUGGUAUUUCACAACAAUGCAGCAAAUAAGGUCUUGUCAUUGUUAGAUAGCAUAUUUUAGUACAUAGUAACAUGUAUUUAAUAUGUAAAUAAUAAUUGUUUUCUCACUAGAAUGGAGUUAUAAGUAUGAAGUGAAAAUACCGGAAAUACGACACCGAUAAUAAUUUUAAAAAUAUGAAGCCAAUUAAUAUUAAUAAUGUAUUGUAGGGAGGUAGUAAACAAGUUAGAUUUGAGCUUGUUGAUGAGAAAUUUAUAGCUAUUAGCCUGUUAUUUAUUGGAAAUUUUACAAGCAUGUUCUAAAUGUGGAACCAUAUAUCUUUGCAUGUUUUCAUGAUUUACUAAAUCUUUAUAGAACUUUUAAAAAUGAGAAUGUGCAUGAAAUAAUCAAUGGUAUGUAAUGAAAAAAAAUGUACUAUAGUUUAAAAUUGGAUCAAAUAAAUUUUUUUGUUAAGGACUUAUAUAAAUAUGUACUAAUGUUCAUAUAACUUUUUUUUUUAUUUUUUAACUUAUUAUAUGUAUCUGAUAAACUCGGUCUAACCCACACCAGAACCCGUGCGGACGCACGAGUUUCCCACUAGUUAUUAAAAAGAAAAUGCAACAUUUUAUAUAUUUUCAUAAAUAAAAGUACUUUUGUACUAAAAAAAGAAGUUGCAUUGCUAAUAACAUAAGAAUCGAACAUAUUAUUUAAAAAAAAUAGAUAUGGCAUAUAUCUAUAAACAUAGGAUUAGGGGUGGCAAAACUUACUGUGGCCCGCCGGGCCGGCCCGCUCACCCGCCAAAAAUUGGCGGGUUGGGUUGGGAUUUUAGGAUCGCCCCGCCAAAACCCGUCGUCCGCC